GGUCGGUUAGCUCAGUUGGUAGAGCAUCACAAUUACAUUCAAAUUCCCAGAUCUAGUGUCCAGGAUGUUGAAGGAUUACUGCGAAGGCCAUAGGUUCAAGCCCUAUACUGACCA